AGCAGCAGCCGCGGGAAUACGAAGGGUGCAAGCGUUACUCGGAAUUACUGGGCGUAAAGCGUGCGUAGGUGGUGGUUUAAGUCCGUUGUGAAAGCCCUGGGCUCAACCUGGGAAUUGCAGUGGAUACUGGGUCACUAGAGUGUGGUAGAGGAUAGUGGAAUUUCCGGUGUAGCAGUGAAAUGCGUAGAGAUCGGAAGGAACAUCUGUGGCGAAGGCGACUAUCUGGGCCAACACUGACACUGAGGUACGAAAGCAUGGGGAGCAAACAGGAUUAGAUACCCCGGUAGUCCCUGUCUCUUAUAC
rnacentral:rRNA from 1 species